rnacentral:lncRNA from 1 species
CCCAAAAAGAAAAACUCUUAUCCACUCCCACCCUGCAGCCUCCCGAUUCUUCUCCACCUUCCACCGUCGGGCGUCGUCCCCCGCAACUCCGGCGGCCUCCUUCCCCUGCUCAGGCUGCCUCCCUCCCCAGCUCCGGCCGCCUCCCUUCCCAGUGUCGGCCUCCUCCCUCCCCAGCGCCGGCCUCCUCCCCAGCGUGUCGCCGGCCGACCUCCCUCCCAGCGUGCCGCCAGCCGGCCUCUUCCCAGCGCGCCUCCGGCCGACCUUGCCUCAAGCGCGCCGCCACGACGGCCCUCGCCGCCACCACCACCUCCCACCGCAACCACCACCACCACCUCCCACCGCAACCACCACCACCUUCUCAUCCUCGUGAGCCCACGCCCGUCACUCCCCACGAACCCCGCCGCCUCCAUCCCUCCUACACCGGCGCCGCCCUUACCUCGCGACGACAGCCGCCCUCCCUCGCGCCGGCAGCCGCCCUCCCUCGCGCGCCGGCCUCCUCCACCUUCACGCUCAGGACGCCUUCCUUCCUGCGCUCCGGUCGCCUUCCUCCUCGCGCGCCGGCCUCCUCCCUACCCCGCGCUCUGUCUGCCUUUCUUCCCGUGCUCCGACCGUCUUCCUCCCCGCGCUCUGGCCGCCUUCCUCCCCGCGCUCCGGCCUCCUUCCUCCCUGCAAUCAGUUCGCCUCCCUCCCCACGCUCCGUCCACCUUCCUCCCCGAGAUCCAUCCGCCUUCUCCCCUGAGAUCCCACGGCCGUACCGCCACCGGCCAACCCCUCCAUCUGUAAGUAAGGGCACUGGGCCGCCCUCCACGCCGGGGUGGCCCUGCUAGCCAUCAGCGGGGG